rnacentral:rRNA from 1 species
AUGAUCUUGCUCCCAAAGACCGAAGGCGCAGACAGCGCGGGCGCCUUCAGGCUAAUCGCCCUCCAAAAUUGCCCGAUCAAAGGCAUCGCUAAGCUACUAACUAAUAGACUCAAGGCCUACAUCCCCCUGCUUGUCCAUGGGGACCAAACAGGCUUCAUUUCAGGCCGAUGCAUAGUUGAAAACUUCAUUUAUGCGGCUGAUUUCCUGAACUGCUGCCACAAACGAAAAGCAGCCGCUAUGAUCAUCAAGCUUGACUUUUGGAAAGCCUUUGACUCUAUUUCCUGGAAUUCCUUGCUUCAAAUUCUUAGGCACCGGGGCUUCCCUCCUCGUUUCUGUGGCUGGAUCAGCGACCUGCUCUCCUCUGGUAAAACAGCGGUCUCGCUGAAUGGCACCCCUGGGGACUGGAUCCAAUGCAGAAAGGGCCUCAGGCAAGGCGACCCGAUCUCGCCAUACCUCUUCAUCAUUGUUGCCGACGUCCUCCAGCGCAUGAUC